rnacentral:rRNA from 1 species
GCGUGUUGGAGGCAGGGGACAACGAGGUUAGGCCGGUCGCGAGGGAGGUGGAGCAGAGAGGGCUAGGGUGGCCAGCCGCCACUGGAAGUGGGAUCGUCAGUAUGAGGUGGGAUCGUCAGCUAGGGCUGGUAGCGACGAAGUGGUCGGAGGAGUAGACCGUAGAGGGGCUCCCGCCGGCUACGGUCUGUCCGGCAGCUGCGCGGCCUGGAGUUCCGGCCAGCACGACGAGGAAGACGGACGCAGGGGAGCUGGCGACAGACGUUCUAGAGGGAGGAGUUCCUCUACGUCGUAGCCUUGUAGUAGUCCGACGUCCUGCACCACGUAUUGCUCUUCUCCCUCCCGCGGUACCGCUUCUUCCUCCCUGGAACGCCGGUAACGCCUCAGUGUUCACAUAACAAGGACAUGGGCUCACCGAUGUAGUCCCUUCUGGGUGAACCUCAGGGGUUGUUGGACUCGGGAUACACGUCGUUCAGCAACAGCCCUCCGCGGACGCGACUGCCAAAUACCCUGGCUUAUGUUGUGGUUCCUACCUUAUCCCCACCACUUUAAUACCAUGUCUUAUGGUCUUUAAGAAGACCCACGCUCCGUCAUAAGAUGGGAACAACCACUUCACGCUUAGGUACAAGCUUCAAAACUUCGUAUAGCUGUUUCUCAUCGUAUAAUACACAACAUUAACAUCCGUCAUCAUCCGUAUAGACUCAACAUUAUAUGAUAUUGCUAACAUUAUCUAAUUACAUCAUAACCAAAACCUGGUUAAAGUAAACGAGAAACCAGACAAGCUUUCUUACAACACGUACACUAAACUUAUGGGUACUUUACCUUUGGACUGUUCACC